rnacentral:rRNA from 1 species
CUACGGGUCGCAGCAGUAAAGAAUCUUCCACAAUGGGCGAAAGCCUGAUGGAGCGACACCGCGUGCAGGAUGAAGGCCUUCGGGUUGUAAACUGCUUUUCUGGGGGGAUAAUUCUGAAGGUACCCUAGGAAUAAGCACCGGCUAAAUCCGUGCCAGCAGCCGCGGUAAUACGGAUGGUGCAAACGUUACCCGGAAUCAUUGGGCGUAAAGCGUCCGCAGGCUGCGUAGCAAGUCAGAUAUUAAAUCCCAAGGCCCAACUUUGGGGCUGUGUUUGAAACUGCUGCGCUAGAGUCUUGGAGAGGUGAGUGGAAUUCUACAUGUAGGGGUAAAAUCCGUAGAUAUGUAGAGGAACACCAAAAGCGAAGGCAGCUCACUGGCCAAGUACUGACGCUCAUGGACGAAAGCGUGGGGAGCAAACGGGAUUAGAUACCCGGGUAGUC